rnacentral:rRNA from 1 species
CCCCUAGAUGUUCUGGGCCACACGCGCGCUACACUGAACAGUUCAACAAGUCUUAACCUUGGCCGAUAGGUCUGGGUAAUCUUUGAACGCUGUUCGUGAUUGGGAUAGACCUUUGCAAUUAUGGGUCUUCAACGAGGAAUUCCUAGUAAACGCAAGUCAUCAGCUUGCAUUGAUUACGUCCCUGCCCUUUGUACACACCGCCCGUCGCACCUACCGAUUGAAUGGUCCGGUGAAAUCUCGGGACGGCGGCUCGGUCGCUUGCGUCCGACUGCUGAAACUUGAUUAAACCAUAUCAUUUAGAGGAAGGUGAAGUCGUANCA